GAGGUGCAGCAGCUCCUAGUGUAGGAGGCUGUGAACACCAUGAGGAAAAGUGCUGUGAGGACAAGCAAGGAUCUAUGCAGCAGGUGCACCAAUGCAUCAAGUGCAUCCAUGUGCCUGGCUCAAGCCCAAAGCAUUGUGACCAGCAAGCUGGAAAAGAUCUAGUACUGCCAGGCCUGCUGCACCAUGUAUUACAGUGGCAAAGCCAAAAACUCAAUGGAUGUGGAAAAUAAUUCGCUGCAGGCGAAGUAACUACUAGACAGCUGUGUGGACAAGUGUGUGAUGAUCACAUACACCACAUCCCCAAAAUAACCAAAAAAGAUGAAGGAGUCUUUGUCAUCUAUUGGGAAAUAA
rnacentral:lncRNA from 1 species